AUUGAACGCUGGCGGCAGGCCUAACACAUGCAAGUCGAACGAGUGGCGGACGGGUGAGUAAUGUCUGGGAAACUGCCCGAUGGAGGGGGAUAACUACUGGAAACGGUAGCUAAUACCGCAUACCAUCGGAUGUGCCCAGAUGGGAUUAGCUGGUAGGUGAGGUAACGGCUCAACUAGGCGACGAGCCCUAGCUGGUCUGCGAGGAGGACCAGCCACACGGGCACUGAGACCCGGUCCAGAUUCUUACGGGACGCAUCAGUGGGGAAUAGGGAACAAUGGGCGCAAUCCGGAUGCAGCCAGGCCGCGGGUAUGAAGAAGGCUUUGUGGUUGUAAAGUACUUUCAGCGGGGAGGCGUUACCCGCAGAAUAAGCACCGGCUAACUCCGUGCCAGCAGCCGCGGUAAUUC
rnacentral:rRNA from 1 species